rnacentral:piRNA from 1 species
CCCAGGAAGUGCAUCUGACCAUCCCCCCCACC